UACGAAGGGGGCUAGCGUUGCUCGGAAUGACUGGGCGUAAAGGGCGCGUAGGCGGUUUGGACAGUCAGGCGUGAAAUUCCUGGGCUUAACCUGGGGGCUGCGCUUGAUGCAUCCAGACUUGAGUGGGGAAGAGGGUCGUGGAAUUCCCAGUGUAGAGGUGAAAUUCGUAGAUAUUGGGAAGAACACCGGUGGCGAAGGCGGCGACCUGGUCCUUUACUGACGCUGAGGCGCGAAAGCGUGGGGAGCAAACAGG
rnacentral:rRNA from 1 species